CUCACCGCACACAUACCGAACAUCUGCCCGAGAUUCUGGGGCUGUGUUGUAUGACACUAGUCCUGGGGAGACGGGAAGGAAUGUCUACUCAUCUUGUAUCCUGAGGGCAGCUCAGGUGGUCCGAGUGUCUGUCUGCAGUCCUUACCGCUUGUAACAUCAGGGAGAAAAGUCUCCGGUUGUCUGUGGCCAUGGCCUCCCCACAGUCUCGUUCUGGAACCUUAAGUCCAAAUAAACUCUUUCUUCUCUAA